UAGGGAAUCUUCGGCAAUGGACGAAAGUCUGACCGAGCAACGCCGCGUGAGUGAAGAAGGUUUUCGGAUCGUAAAACUCUGUUGUUAGAGAAGAACAAGGAUGAGAGUAACUGUUCAUCCCUUGACGGUAUCUAACCAGAAAGCCACGGCUAACUACGUGCCAA
rnacentral:rRNA from 1 species